rnacentral:rRNA from 1 species
UACGAAGGGGGCUAGCGUUGCUCGGAAUCACUGGGCGUAAAGCGCACGUAGGCGGGUUGCUAAGUCAGGGGUGAAAUCCUGGAGCUCAACUCCAGAACUGCCUUUGAUACUGGCAAUCUCGAGUCCGGGAGAGGUGAGUGGAACUGCGAGUGUAGAGGUGAAAUUCGUAGAUAUUCGCAAGAACACCAGUGGCGAAGGCGGCUCACUGGCCCGGUACUGACGCUGAGGUGCGAAAGCGUGGGGAGCAAACAGG